rnacentral:tRNA from 1 species
GGGGCUAUAGCUCAGCUGGGAGAGCGCUUGAAUGGCAUUCAAGAGGUCAGGAGUUCGAUC